UAAAAUACAUCCGUUAGCAAGGGCCGGGCAAGACCGGUGCCAGCCGCCGCGGUAACACCGGCGGCUCGAGUGGUGAUCGUGAUUAUUGGGUCUAAAGGGUCCGUAGCCGGUUUGGUCAGUCCUCCGGGAAAUCUGAUAGCUCAACUAUUAGGCUUUCGGGGGAUACUGCCAGACUUGGAACCGGGAGAGGUAAGAGGUACUACAGGGGUAGGAGUGAAAUCUUGUAAUCCCUGUGGGACCACCUGUGGCGAAGGCGUCUUACCAGAACGGGUUCGACGGUGAGGGACGAAAGCUGGGGGCACGAACCGGAUUAGAUACCCGGGUAGUCCCAGCCGUAAACGAUGCUCGUUAGGUGUCAGGCAUGGCGCGACCGUGUCUGGUGCCGCAGGGAAGCCGUGAAGCGAGCCACCUGGGAAGUACGGCCGCAAGGCUGAAACUUAAAGGAAUUGGCGGGGGAGCACAACAACGGGUGGAGCCUGCGGUUUAAUUGGACUCAACGCCGGACAACUCACCGGGGGCGACAGCAAUAUGUAGGCCAAGCUGAAGACUUUGCAUGAAUCGCUGAGAGGAGGUGCAUGGCCGUCGCCAGUUCGUACUGUGAAGCAUCCUGUUAAGUCAGGCAACGAGCGAGACCCGUGCCCACAGUUACCAGCAUGUCCUCCGGGACGAUGGGUACUCUGUGGGGACCGCCUAUGUUAAAUCGGAGGAAGGUGCGGGCCACGGUAGGUCAGUAUGCCCCGAAUCUUCCGGGCUACACGCGGGCUACAAUGGAUGGGACAAUGGGUCCCUCCCCUGAAAAGGGCUGGUAAUCUCACAAACCCAUUCGUAGUUCGGAUCGAGGGCUGUAACUCGCCCUCGUGAAGCUGGAAUCCGUAGUAAUCGC
rnacentral:rRNA from 1 species